rnacentral:rRNA from 1 species
UACGAGAGGAACGGUGGCUCGAGACCUCUGGUUUAUCGGCUGUCUGGCAAGGCACGCCGAGCAGCUACGUCUUAAUUGAUAAGAGCUGAAAGCAUCUAAGCUCGAAGCAAGCCUCGAAAAGAGACAUCAUAGGCUCGGGUAGAAGACCCGGUUGAUAGGGUUGUGGUGUAAGCACCAAGGCAACAAGGUGUUCAGCCAGCAACUACUAAUCGCCUGU